AUGUUGGUGAAUGACUCCACCAGCCGCCACCCAAAAGAAACCCUACAGAUGGAUCCUGACAUGGGAGAUGUCACAGAGGAAGAGGGGGAGGCUGUGGAGGUUAGGACAGCAGCAACAGCACAGAGGAGGAGGAGGAGGAGGAGGAGGAGGAGGCGCAGGCAGAGGACACUAGAGGCGGCCCAGGAUGAGCAGCAAGAGGAGUUCAACCGCCGACUCUCCGACAAGGUACUGGAGAAGUGCAAUGAUGAAGAACUAGAGCUGGUUUUCACUGGUGGCAGGGGAAGGUCAUUCAUGAAGAUCAUUAGGUGGGCAAGGAUGAGGGCAGUCAUGGCUCCUCAUCCAGCAACUAGGGCCAAGUGGGUCCAUUUCUUCGAGUGCUAUGACUGA
rnacentral:rRNA from 1 species